GCUUUCUCCCAGGUUGGGACUGGGUGUAAAGCGAGCGUCGAACUGGUUGCAGCCGGUUCGGCGCUCAUUUUUUUCGUUU
rfam:Corynebacterium jeikeium plasmid pA505, complete sequence.